rnacentral:lncRNA from 10 species
CCUUUGCAGGUUAAAGAGCUUUAUGCUAGAGGCUCCCUCACCUGGCACCUCCUAUGUGUUUCUUCUGGGACUGGCGCUAGAUGUUGUUUUGGACACUCUUUCAUUAAUGAGUACCCCUUUGCAGGCUUGAACUCUUCCCCUUCCAUUCCUUCUGAAACAUUGCUUUUCCCUUUUACAGGUCCCUCCCUGUAGCCCUGAAACUCUGCAGCCAUCGUCUUCGCCUCCAGACAAUGACGGCCACCUUUCUUUCUCUGAGGAUCUUCCUUGCCUUUGACUCCCUGCCUUGGGCCCUCUUCAGAAGAUCCUCAGACCAGGACAGGAGUGUAGAGGCCAGGACUGCAACUGCACUUUUGUCAUGAACAGCAAACCUGGCAGUUCUCAGUGGCUGAAGCAUUCGGGAUGUGUGGUUUGUGGAGCACUCCGGGGAUGUCAUCUGAAGCCUGUGAACACAGAGCAGUCCUCCUGGUCAACACAAAGACAGUUCCACAAGGCUUUUCUCCAUGUCACCACUGCUUAAACAUCUAGACUUCCUACAAUCAGUCCCUGCAAGGACUUUGACGCGACGGGUCCUCUGGCCGGCAGCGCCCCCAGGUUCUGAACACUGAACACAUGGCGUCCCCGCACCACUGGACAUGUAACUGGGAGGAUGGUGAGAGCGUGACAAUUUUUCCUUUAUAGUUUUUAACCAUUAGGUGUGAAUCAUGAAUGUGAAGGAUUUGGGAUAUUCUGUUCUUUUAGAACCAGUGUUGGGAGCAAAGGAGAGUGGCAGGAGGUGGGAGGCUCUCUUCCAAUGUGUCACUGCCCCCGGGGAGGGGUGUGGGCUGCGGGAAUGACCCAUGCUCUGGGGCAAAUGUUAU